rnacentral:rRNA from 1 species
GUAGUGUAAUUGCAGAAUCCGCGAAUCAUCGAGUCUUUGACGCAAGUUGCGCCCGAGGCUUGUCCAAGGGCAUUUCCGCUAGAGCGUCACC